rnacentral:rRNA from 1 species
CGUGAGGGAAAGGUGAAAAGAACCCCGGGAGGGGAGUGAAAAAGAACCUGAAACCCUGUGCCGACAAGCAGAUAGAGCAAAGCAAUUUGUGAUAUCGUACUUUUUGUAGAACGGGCCAGCGAGUUAUGGUAUGCGGCAAGGUUAAUCACUGAAGGUGAGGAGCCGAAGGGAAACCGAGUCUUAAAAGGGCGAAAGUCGAAUACCAUAGACCCGAAACCGGGUGAUCUAUCCAUGGUCAGAGUGAAGUUUCGGUAAAACGGAAUGGAGGCUCGAACCGGGUAUGGUUUAAAACAUAUCGGAUGACCUGUGGAUAGGGGUGAAAAGCCAAUCGAACCCGGAUAUAGCUGGUUCUCCUCGAAAUAGCUUUAGGGCUAGCCUUUGGGAAAGAGUCUACGGGAGGUAGAGCACUGAAUGGUCGCGGGGCACGUGGUGUUACCAAGAUCUAUCAAACUCCGAAUACCCGCAAGAUACCCCAAGGAGUCAGACUAAGUGGGAUAAGCUUCUUAGUCGAAAGGGAAAGAGCCCAGCCCAUCAGCUAAGGUCCCCAAAUCCAAAUUAAGUGGCAAAGGAUGUAAUGCUACUCAGACAACCAGGAUGUUGGCUUAGAAGCAGCCAUACAUUGAAAGAGUGCGUAAUAGCUCACUGGUCAAGUGGAAUUGCGCCGAAGAUUUCCGGGGCUAAAAUUUGGUACCGAAGCUAUGGAUACCUGACGGUAUGGUAGAGGAGCAUCGUGUGAAAGGAAGAAGCAGCAUCGAAAGGAGCUGUGGACGAGACACGAGAGAGAAUGCUGGCAUGAGUAACGAGAAGGCGAGUGAGAAUCUCGCCCGUCGAAAGUCUAAGGUUUCCUGAGCAAGGCUCGUCCUCUCAGGGUAAGUCGGGACCUAAGGCGAGGCCGAAAGGCGUAGUCGAUGGAAGACAGGUUGAAAUUCCUGUACUAUCAAAAGCGAUAGAAGAGAAGUGGUGACGCAGGAGGAUAGGUUAAGCGCACGGAUGGAAGAGUGCGUUCAAGCAGGUAGAUAGACCUUGUAGGCAAAUCCGCAAGGUUAAUAUCGAGACGUGAUGAGGAUCGAAAAACAAGUAGAGAAGUAAUUGACUCCACACUGCCAAGAAAAGCCACUAUCAAGCGAAUGAUACCCGUACCGCAAACCGACACAGGUAGACAAGAAGAGAAUUCUAAGACGCGCGGAAGAACCUCUGUUAAGGAACUCGGCAAAAUGACCCCGUAAGUUCGCGAGAAGGGGUACCAUAAUUUGUGAAGAUAAAACUAUUGGAGCAGAAGAUGGUCGCAGCGAAACGGCCCAAGCGACUGUUUACCAAAAACACAAGUAUCUGCUAAAUCGAAAGAUGACGUAUAGGUGCUGACACCUGCCCGGUGCUGGAAGGUUAAGGGGAAAAGUAAGGGUUAAACCGAAGCUUAGAACUUAAGCCCCAGUAAACGGCGGCCGUAACUAUAACGGUCCUAAGGUAGCGAAAUUCCUUGUCGGGUAAGUUCCGACCCGCACGAAAGGUGUAACGAUUUGGGCACUGUCUCAACAGAGGAUCCGGUGAAAUUGUAGUAUGCGUGAAGAUGCGCAUUACCCACGACAGGACGGAAAGACCCCGUGGAGCUUUACUGCAGGCUGAUAUUGGAUUUCGGCAUAGGAUGUACAGGAUAGGUGGGAGACGAAGAAACCAGGGCGUCAGCUUUGGUGGAGUCGACCUUUGGAUACCACCCUUUCUGUGCUGGAAUUCUAACCUGGUACCGUAAGCCGGUACAGGGACACUGUCAGUUGGGCAGUUUGACUGGGGCGGUCGCCUCCUAAAAAGUAACGGAGGCGUUCAAAGGUUCCCUCAGAAUGGUUAGAAAUCAUUCGAAGAGUGCAAAGGCAAAAGGGAGCUUGACUGCGAGACCGACAAGUCGAGCAGGAACGAAAGUUGGACUUAGUGAUCCGGUGGUACCGAGAGGAAGGGCCAUCGCUCAACG